rnacentral:lncRNA from 1 species
AUGAAUGAAAAUUUAUUCACCUCUUUUAUUACCCCAACAUUUCUAGGUCUACCCGCAGUAGUAUUAACCAUUUUAUUUCCCACCAUACUAUUUCUAACCUCCAAUCAUCUAAUUAGUCAUCUACUGAUCUCCAUUCAACAAUGAAUAGUUCAACUUUACUAAAAUAAUAAUUACCCAUAACAUUAAAGGACAAACCUGAUCCCUAAUACUGAUAUCCCUAAUUUUCUUCAUUGCCUCGACCAAUCUCCUCGGGCUUCUACCCUACUCAUUUAUACCAACUACCCAAUUAUCAAUAAAUCUAGGUAUAGCAAUCCCCUUGUGAACAUGCACAGUCAUUACAGGCUUCCAGUUUAAAAUGAAAAUCUCCUUAGCCCACUUUUUUACCACAAGGCAGACCCAUACCACUUAUUCCUGUAUUGGUAAUCAUUGAGACUAUUAGCCUAUUCAUCCAACCAAUAGCACUAGUUGAGUGAUUAACAGCCAACAUUACAGCUGGCCACCUACUAAUACACUUAAUCAGAGGAGCCACACUAGUACUAUCAACUAUUAGUCUUCCCACAGCUUCAAUUGCUUUCAUUAUUUUAAUCCUACUAACCAUUCUCAAAUUCGCCAUAGCCCUUAUUCAGGCUUAUGUCUUUGCACUACUAGUAAGCCUCUAUCUACAUGACAACACC